rnacentral:rRNA from 1 species
AUUGAACGCUGGCGGCGGGCUUAACACAUGCAAGUCGAGCGGGGACUUCGGUCCUAGCGGCGAACGGGUGAGGAAUGCUUGGGAAUCUGCCCAGUAGCGGGGGAUAACGUUUCGAAAGGAACGCUAAUACCGCAUACGCCCUACGGGGGAAAGGGGGGGAUCUUCGGACCUCUCACUAUUGGAUGAGCCCAAGUCGGAUUAGCUAGUUGGUGGGGUAAAGGCCUACCAAGGCGACGAUCCGUAGCUGGUCUGAGAGGAUGAUCAGCCACACUGGAACUGAGACACGGUCCAGACUCGUACGGGAGGCAGCAGUGGGGAAUAUUGGACGAUGGGCGAAAGCCUGAUCCAGCCAUGCCGCGUGUGUGAAGAAGGCCUUCGGGUUGUAAAGCACUUUAAGCGAGGAGGAAUGGCUCUUGGUUAAUAACCUUGAGCAGUGACGUUACUCGCAGAAUAAGCACCGGCUAACUCUGUGCCAGCCGCCGCGGUAAAAC